rnacentral:ribozyme from 1 species
ACUAUUAACCACUCUGUUAAUGCGGUAGGGGAUCCGAGACUCCUUUCGGGGUUACACUCAACUUCUAUUCCGUCACGUCCUCGUCGUACAGAGUGGUAACUUUCCCCACCACAUAUCCAAGCUUGGGUACACGGGCCUGUCCCAACCUCUUGGGCGGAUGGUGGAGAAAGGCUAAACAGGAGGGG